rnacentral:lncRNA from 1 species
GUAGCUCGCACAUCAGCGCUGGAAACAUUGUUGCCAAAGAUCCGAACCACAGCGAUGGCCUCAUAAGCUAGCUUUGCAUGUACUUUUCCAGUUAUAUCCUGCUCGAUUCCGUUCCAGCUCUGGGUACGCUCAGUUGCACAUGCAAAAACUUUUCCAAACAGGGGGACAAUUUUCCCACAAGCCAAUGAUUCAUGUAAGACAAGCUUGCAGCCUCUUCCAGACCACUUGUUCAGGCCAUCCUCAAAUUUAGGAUUUGCCAUGAUGUUCCCUUCUCCAUAUCCAGUGUCCACAAAUUGAUAAUGACUUGUUUCCUUUUGAUAACUUGUUUUCUCUUGAUAGCUUGUUUCCUUUUGAUAGCUUGUUUCCUUUCCAUAUCAAAAUGAAGAGAAUUUCACAAAUUAAUCAUCACAAAAAGUAUAAAUAAAAUUAAUAAAUAGAUUUAAGAAGAAAAAUUACGUAGAAUUCACUUGGUGGGGAGCUGGAAAUAACUACUGAUUGUAUAAGCAAGUCCACUGCAGCAGAAGGGCCUUCCAAGUAAAAAACGGCACGAUCAGGCUUCUUUGGCAGGGAGAAUUUUCCUUCCAACUUUUCCCACCUUUCCUUUGACAGAGAAAUUCUGCAGGGAUAUAUAACUUACAUUAAGACUAUCUGUAUGUUUCAUUUAAGGAAGAAACGCAAUAAAGUGAAGCAGCAAAUCUAUUACCUUCCAAUGAACAAAUAGUCUGUUGGGGAAUUUCGAUAUUCCACUCUCAAAGUAGCUUGUACAUCAGUGGUUCCCUGAAUAUGUCCUGAUACACCAACAUAUGCAGUAACAUAAUAAGUGGAACCUGGAGAAACAAUGCUUGUGAUAUCUUGCUCCAAGCCCUGCCAACUUUCUGUUCGAUUUGAGACAACUGCAUAAUAACCACCUCGCUUUGUUAAGAAUGCUGGGUGACCUGACUCUGCUGAAACCACAGAGAAACUGCAGCCAUUUGCGUGCCAAGAAUGCUGUCCUUGAGAGAAGUCAUGGUUCGUUAUGACAUUGAUGGUGGUGUUGCCACUUGAACCAGAUAUGCCUUGGUCCAUUAUGGUCUUGAUAGCAGUGUCACCAUAUGAACCAACAGUGCUCUGGUCCAUUGUGAUAUUGAUGGCACCGCUGCUACUUCUACAAGACAUGCCAUGGUCCCUUCUGAUAUUGGCGAUAUCGCUGCUACUUGAACUAACUUUGCCCUGAUCCAUUAUAUUAAAGUUUGAGCAACUUUGAAAUAUCUAUGUAAAAACAUGUAAAGAUUAUUCAAUAGAACAUUCAUAAUAAUAAUAUAACAACAGCAACAUUACAACAAUUGAGGUUUUCGCACUAAAUUUUAAUGGAGAAAAAAUUGCCGCUGCAUUAAAAUUUAGGCUAAUUUAUUUAAAAAGACCCAAUAUUUAUAUGUAUUUACAUUUUAAUUUAAUUCUUUCAAUUUUAGUUUAAUUAACUCAACCUUUAUAUUUUAGUAUAAUUUUAGCCUAUUUACAAAAUUUUAAAUUUAAUAGUCUAACUGGUAUCAAGUAUGUGUAUAUUAUUAUUAUUUAAUUGGUUAAUUAAUUAAAAAAGGCCAAAUAUUUAUUAUUUUAUAUUUUAAUUCAAACGUUUAAAUUUUAAAUAAAUGGAUUUAAUAUUUAUGUUUGAUUAUAAUUUUGAUUAAUUUUUAAAAUUAAAAUUAAAAAUAAAUAAUUUAAUUAUUAAAUAUGUAGUUCACAAUUUUAACUGAUAAAUUUUAUUUUACCGUAAUAAUUAUAAAUAUUUUAUAAUAAAUAUAUUAUUUAAUUCAAAAUUGUAGUAUAUAUAAAAUAAUUAAAAAUAAUAUAUUUAUUAUAAAAUUUUUAUAAUUAUUAAUACAAAAUAAAAUUUAUCUACUGUUAAAUGUUGAUAGCAUAUUAAAUAGUUAGAUUAUUAUUAUUUUUAAAAUUAAAUAUAUCAUUUAAAAUUACACUCUAGCAUUGCUCAAUUCAUCCAAAAUUUAAAUAUUUGAAUUAAAACGUAAAAUGAUGUAAACAAUAAAUUUUUAUAGUAAUUUGAUUAUUAGUUUAUAAUUAAAUAGUAAUAAUACACAUAACAUACUAAUUAAACUAUCAAAUUUAAAAAUUUACAUAUUAAUUAAAAUUGCAUCAAAACAUAAAGGUUAGAUUAAUUAAAUUAAAAUUAAAAAAAUUAAAUUAAAAUGUAAAUAUAUAUAAACUUUGAGUCUUUUUAAGUCAAUUGAUCUAAAAUUUAUUGUAAAAUACUAAAAUUUUACCACUAAGACUCCAUUUGUUUGGAGAAAAUAACUUGUAAUUGGAAAAUAUUUUUAAUUUAUAAAAAAAAUAAAAUAUAUUAACAAUUUAUAUAUAAGAUCUUAAUAAGAUUCUUAAAAUAGGAAAAAUGACUUACUUUUUUAAAAAAUCAAAAUUUAUUUUUAAAAUAAUUUAUUUUUUUUGGUAAAAAAAUAUUUUUUAUUGACUAAAUUUUUUAAAUACCUUAUCUAUUAAAAAAAUAUUUUUCUAAAACAUAUUUUUCAGUGAAAUAAAAGAAGAGUAAUUAUAAAAAAUCAUUAUUAAAACUUUUAACGUUAUAUUUUUUGUAGUGAUUUAAUGACUGAACUUGAAUUUUAUCUCUCAAUACUCUAGGGGUGAAUUUUACACAUUUAAUAAUAAUUUUUAUUUUUAUAAAAAGUUAAUUUCUUGUAAUCUAACAAUAAAAAAAUAUAAACAAAAAGUUUAACAUUAAAAUUGGAGGAAAAAUUUUUCUAUAUAAAGUUUAUAUAGACCAAUUCAUAUGAAACUAUAUAAAUUUAACACUAUAAAUCUAUAAGAUCUGAUCUAGAGAUAAGAAUUAUCGGUAAAUUUAGUUUAACUAACCUCAAUUGUUGGACGAGAGGAGGGAGGUACUUUCUCAGCAUGCUUUAGAAAAAAGCCGUUCACAAGAAUAUCAGUGCCUGCAGGUGGACCUUCUAUGAAAAUCACUACCUUUGUAGGGUAAUCAUUUAGAUGGAAUUUUCCCUUUAACUGUAUCCACUCUUUAUCUGUUGUCUGCAUACUACAGUUUCAAAAAGAUAAUCAUGAAAAUAAAUCAAGAAAAUGGUAAAAAAAAUCUAAAUAAUUUGAUUUGGUUAAUGAAAAUGAUGGAGAUAAUAUAACUAAAUAAAUCUUAAAACCUGGCGUUAUAAUCUAUAUCGAUAUUAAAUAUAAUAAAGUUUAACUCUAAAAUUAAGUUUUUCUAAAAGUAAAUGGGAAAGUAUAAUUUAAAAUCUCUCAAAUUUAUUCAGAUGCAUUUAUAAUCAGGCUAAAUCUGUGAGUGUAUAAGUCUUUUUAUUAUAUUUUUUAUAUUAGUUAAUUUUUCUCUUAUUUUAUUAUUACUUCCUCUCUACUAAAAGAAGAAAUGCCUUUAAAUUUUUAAAAAAUAUGAUAAAAAUAACUUUAAGUAUUCUAUUUGAGUUACUCAAGUAAAUAAUGGCUAAAGUAAGUGUCUAGAUGAUAAAUAAAGCCAUCUGACUCAGAGGGUUGAAUUAAGAAAAUGAUGUUUGCAGAAAUUGAAGGUGAUAAAAGAAUAUUAUAUAUGGAGAUAAUUAGAGGGAAAAAGAGCUAACUUGGCAAUGCCUAUGUAUUCUUCUUGGAGAUCUGUUGUUUGGACGCAUAAAGUAACUCGCACAUCAGCACUGCUAACAUUGUUGCCAAAGAUACGAACCACAGCAAUGGCCUCAUAAGCUUGCUUUGCCUGUACUUUUCCAGUUAUCUCCUGCUCGAUUCCGUUCCAGCUCUGGGUACGCUCAGUUGCACAUGCAAAAACUUUUCCAAACAGGGGGACAAUUUUCCCACAAGCCAAUGAUUCAUGUAAGACAAGCUUGCAGCCUCUUCCAGACCACUUGUUCAGGCCAUCCUCAAAUUUAGGAUUUGCCAUGAUGUUCCCUUUUCCAUAUCCAGUGUCCACAAAUUGAUAAUUACUUGUUUCCUUUUGAUAACUUGUUUUCUCUUGAUAGCUUGUUUCCUUUUGAUAGCUUGUUUCCUUUCCAUAUCAAAAUGAAGAAAAUUUUACAAAUUUAUCAUCACAAAAAUGUAUAAAUAAAAUUAAUAAAUAGGUUUAAGAAGAAAAAUUACAUGGAAUUCACUUGGAGGGGAACUGGUAAUAACGACUGAUUGUACAAGCAAGUCCACUGCAGGAGAAGGGCCUUCCAAGUAAAAAAGGACACGAUCAGGCUUCUUUGGCAGGGAGAAUUUUCCUUCCAACUUUUCCCACCUUUCCUUUGACAGAGAAAUUCUGCAGGGAUAUAUAACUUACAUUAAGACAAUCUGUAUGUUUCAUUUAAGGAAGAAAUGCAAUAAAAUGAAGCAACAAAUCUAUUACCUUCCAAUGAACAAAUAGUCUGUUGGGGAAUUUCGAUAUUCCACUCUCAAAGUAGCUUGCACAUCAGUGGUUCCUUGAAUAUUUCCUGAUACACCAACAUAUGCAGUAACAUAAUAAGUGGAACCUGGAGAAACAAUGCUUGUGAUAUCUUGCUCCAAGCCCUGCCAACUUUCUGUUCGAUUCGAGACAACUGCAUAAUAACCACCUCGCUUUGUUAAGAAUGCUUUGUGACCUGACUCUGCUGAAACCACAGAGAAACUGCAGCCAUUUGCGUGCCAAGAAUGCUGUCCUUGAGAGAAGUCAUGGUUCGUUAUGACAUUGAUGGUAGUGUUGCCACUUGAACCAGAUAUGCCCUGGUCCAUUAUGGUCUUGAUGACAGUGUCACCUCUUGAACCAGCCAUCCCAUGGUCCGAUGUGAUAUUGAUGGUUUCGCUGCUACAGGAAGUAGCUAUGCCCUGGUCCACUGUGGUCUUGAUGGUUCCCCUGCUACUUGAACUAGCUAUGCCCUGGUCCAUUAUAUUGAAGUUUGAAAUAUAUAUGUAAAAACACGUAAAGAUUCUCCCAUAGAACAUUCAUAACGAUAGAAUGAACAAACUGUUUUGCUCUGGGUCUAUAUUGACCCAUAAUGUAAAACAGCAAUGGGAUCUACAUAAAAUUUCAUAAAUUUAUACUACAGAUACAUGUACACACGAUGUAGAGAAGAAUUGUCCAUAAAGUUAGUUCAAUUAACCUGAAUUGUUGGAUGAGGGGAAGAAGAUACUUUCUCAGCAUGCUUUAGAAAAAAGCCAUUGACAAGAAUAUCAAUGCCUGCAGGUGGACCUUCUAUAAAAAUCACUAGCUUUUUAGGAUAAUUAUUUAGAAGGAGCUUCCCCUUCAACUGUACCCACUCCUUAUCUGUUACCUGCAUACUAUAGACCCAAAACGACAAUCAUCGUCAAAUCAAUUCAAGAAUAUGGUAAAAUAAAAUUUAAAUAAUUUAAUUUAAUUAAUGAAAAUAAUAAAAAUGAUAUAACCGAAUAAAUACUAUAAAAUUAAUUCUAAAACAUAUUUUUCUAAAAGCGAUAAGUGUCUUUCUAUUAGAUUUUUUUUCCUAAUCUAUUUCGCCCAUAUCUUAUUAAUUACUUAAUAAAUAGCUCUUUAUAUUUUUUUUUGAAAUAACGUGACUUUUCAUUUUAAUAAUAAUAAUAAUAAUAAAUAUGCAUAUAUUAAAUAAAAUUUAUUAGUAUUAUUAUUAUUAUUCCUGAUUGAUAUAUGACCUUCUAGUUUCUCAGUAUUAAACAUAAAAAAUUUAUAUACAAUUAAAAUAUAUGCGUGCGUGAUCAGAGAGAAAAUUUGAAAAAAAAAAUCUUAAAUUUGAAAUUAGUAAGUAAAAAUAAUUAAAAACAUAUAAUAAUGGAUCAAUUAAUCAUAAUUUUAAAUGCAUAUUAUAGUUAUCUUUUAACUAUUUUUUACCCAACUUUUGAUAUUUUUUAUGUUGAGGCAUUACUCUUAGGUGUUGAUAACUAAUAUUUACGUGAAUAUGAUUAUAAAAUAUCUAAUUAAAUUUAAAUAUAUAUAAAUCUUAUAAUAAUAAAGUCAACAUAAAAAUGAUUUAUAAUAAUAAUAUAAAGAAGUAAGAUGACAAGUAAAAUGAAGUCUGGUCCAAACAGUCCGGACUCUUUCUCUUAAAUUCUCUAUAAAUUGAGAGGCUCUACUCAAUAGAGAAACUUAGAAGAUCAAGUUGAAAUUAUAAAAAUUAUGAAACCGUACGGGUCAAACUGAUUUAAAUAAUUUUUAAAUUUAUUUUUUAUUUAAUAAAAAAUAAUUAAUAUUUUUAAAUUUAUUUUUUAUUUGAUUUAAAAUAGUUAACCCAAAUUAUUUAGUAGUUUUCAACUUGACCUAAAAUAGUUAAUCCGAAUUAUUUAGUAGUUUCAUAUUAACUAUUAUAUAUAAUUUCAAUUUAUUGUAGCAAGCAUCUCCCCCACUAAAUUUUAUGAUAUUCUCGUCGCACCCAUUUUCUACUUAACUCAAAACAAUUAACUCAAGUUAUUUAAUAGUUUCGUGCUAAUUAUUAUAUACAAUUUCAAUUUAUUGUAUUCUGCUGACGUAGGACGUUUCACAUCAAGUUCAAGCUGAGUUUCACACUCUCUUCCGUUAAAUUUGCGAUGUUCUAGUCGCUAUUAAAUUAGUUGCUAAAUCAGGACCAGACCCUCGGAUAUUAUGGUUUGUUAGUAUUUCGAAUGGUUUCAUCUUGUGUCACAUGAAUAGCCAUUUCCUUACAGAUUCACUAAUUCUGCACAAUUUUUUUUAUUUAGGAUGGACUCUGAUACCAAUUGAAACAGUUCGAUCUAAAUAAUUUUUGGACCCACUUCUUACUUGAUUCAAAAUAAUUAAUUCAAAUUAUUUAGUAGUUUUAUACUAACUAUUAUAUAUAAUUUUUAUUUUAUCGUAUUCUCCCGACGUGGAACGUUAGAUGUAAGCAAGCCCCUGACUUUCACAAACCAUGCUAAAAUUACAAAUUAUCCAUUUUACAGAAUUUUCACUCAAAUUUUAAAACUAUCAAAUUAUUUUUUUCCGAAUGUAAAAGGCUUUUCUUUAUCAAUUUAAGAAUAAAUUUUUUAAAUUCUUAAUCUCAUAAAUAAAAAAGAAAUUAAAAUAUCGAGUUUUUUUAUUUCAAAUAAUUUAUUGUUGAAAAUCCAACCCAUUUUUUUUAAAUUGAUAUUUAUUAACUGCUUUUUUAUUUUUUUAUUUCAGUUAUGAAAUUUACGUGCACACUAUUACUUUCUUUCACCUUGUUCCAAAUACAUUAAUAGUUAUUUCAACUAAAUAAAGCCUAAAAAUAUUUACCUGAUGUGGGUAAGUGUCUAGUUUAAAAAUCCAUGUGAAUAAAAGAUUGAAUUAAGAAAAUGCUGUUUGCAGAGAUUGAAGGUGAUAAAAGAAUAUUAUAUAUAGAGAUUAUUAGAGGGAAAAAGAGCUAACUUGGCAAUGCCUAUGUAUUCUUCUCGGAGAUCUGUGGUUUGGACGCAUAAAGUAACUCGCACCUCAGCACUGCCAACAUUGUUGCCAAAGAUACGAACCACAGCAAUGGCCUCAUAAGCUUGCUUUGCCUGCACUUUUCCAGUUAUCUCCUGCUCGAUUCCGUUCCAGCUCUGGGUACGCUCAGUUGCACAUGCAAAAACUUUUCCAAACAGGGGGACAAUUUUCCCACAAGCCAUUGAUUCAUGUAAGACAAGCUUACAGCCUCUUCCAGACCACUUGUUCAGGCCAUCCUCAAAUUUAGGAUUUGCCAUGAUGUUCCCUUCUCCAUAUCC